rnacentral:lncRNA from 1 species
CAUUUAGAGCAUAGACCAGCAAAAAGGGCCUCUUCUUGACUACCAACUCACGGGCUUUGGCCCAUUAUGAGGUGUCGAGGGUUUGAGGGGAGGCUCCUUGCUUUCUAAAGAAAGACUUCGGUAGGUAGGCAAAUAGAUUGCCUUUUCUCAUUUAGAUCUGCUUCUCCCCCUUGACUUGAGGCCGAAAGGAGAAUUAAGUAUNNNNNNNNNNNNNNNNNNNNUUUCUCAUUUUAGAUCUGCUUCUCCCCCUUGACUUGAGGCCGAAAGGAGAAUUAAGUAUAUUAGCCUCCCAAUAAAUCAAAUAAGGCUUGAUAUGCUAUCUGUUGCUGCAAGACUUUAGAAGGAUGUUGAUAUGACGAGGGCUGGAUGUUGUUUGAGAUAUGAGAUGCCAAAAAUAAUCUAUAAGAAAAGUCUACGCUCACUGAAAGUAUUCUGGUAGGA